rnacentral:rRNA from 1 species
CCUUUGCCGGCGACCGGCGCACGGGUGAGUAACGCGUAUGCAACCUGCCCUCUUCAGGGGGACAACCUUCCGAAAGGGAGGCUAAUCCCGCGUAUAUCGGUUUCGGGCAUCCGAGAUCGAGGAAAGAUUCAUCGGAAGAGGAUGGGCAUGCGGCGCAUUAGCUAGACGGCGGGGUAACGGCCCACCGUGGCGACGAUGCGUAGGGGUUCUGAGAGGAAGGUCCCCCACACUGGUACUGAGACACGGACCAGACUCCUACGGAAGGCAGCAG